AUCUGCACGCUCGGGGGCCGCGAGGGCUUGGAGCAUCCCUUUGCACCCCUGAAAGGGGGGUGACCUGGUUACCUUACGCUGACCUCCUGACAGCUGUCUAGCUGCACUGAGAAAGUACGGGGCCCCAGAGGGUGCUAGCUUCCAAGAUACUUUGGGUGUUUUCUGCACCCUCCAACCCAACUGGCCUCCCACACACACACACAACACACACGCACACGCACACACUACGCAGGAGGAGGCGGAGGCCUGAGGGAUUAGAGGGAUAGAGACCCUGUCACUCAGAAGAGAUUAGAAUCUGGGCAGGACGUGUCCACGCUGAAGUCUUCAGAAAGUAGGUGCAGCAUCUGCGGCUCCUCGCGUCCAGCCCUCAGAGGCUUUCUUUGCCCUGCUCUCCCAACACCUUCUCGUAUCUGGAGGAGGGGCACAUUGGAGGAUCCUAAAAAGUUUGAAGUGGGCACCAAACUGCUUGCAGGCCUCUACCCUUGGUCUCUGGUGAGAGGAAAAAACUAUCAAAAAAUGUGCUCUUGGCAAGUUUGGGAGCAAGGAGGAAUGCAGUAGAUUUUUCCCCCUUUUAAAGUUUUCACAUAUUGGCAAUUUAAAACCCAAAGCAUUGUUUACCACCUGUCAGACUCACUCGUAAGUGAAAGGAUUAACUAAUAAAAGAUUUGUAAAAUGCUUCCUGAAUAUAAAA
rnacentral:lncRNA from 1 species